CUAUUAUAAAAUUUUCCAUUCCUACUAUAAAUGUUUUACUAAUGUCAAGUCAUAUUAAACUAAUUGCUAUAAAUACCACGAAAUACCGACAGCUUUAAAUUCUUCGCUUUGACUCAGCAUUUGUCAGUUCUCCGCCCGUGUUCAACGAAUCAGGUCGACCGUAAUCAUGAAGAUCAUUUUUCUUAUAAUCUCCAUGUUCCUGGCCAUCGCGAUGGCUCGGCGGGAUUGCCUCUGUCCGCUCCUUUAUGACCCAGUUUGCGGCGUUUCCGGCGAAACCUAUGUAAAUCAAUGCAGUUUACAAUGUGCAAGUGAUACUCUCCUGCACGAGGGAGAAUGUUAAAUUUCUACAUAAAUAUAUUAUACAACAAUAAAGACAUCGACUUUUUAAUUUCCCUUUGGUGCCAACCUUAUCUGAGAAUAUUAUUUAUUAUUAUUUUCAGUCAUCGCCUAGCAUCGCUUGGCACCGCUUGUGUUUUCUGAGUGCACCUAGUCGUUGACCACGUAAAUUCCAGUUGUUCUCAAAAUGUUUCACUGUAGUAUCUGUGACGAGUCUCAUACCGACGGACCUAUUUGCCAUAUUUGCAAAAAACAAUAUGGUUUUGG
rnacentral:misc_RNA from 1 species